AAAGGGUGCGUAGGUGGCCUGGUAAGUCAGGGGUGAAAGACGGUAGCUUAACUAUCGCAGUGCCUUUGAUACUGCCGGGCUUGAAUGAACUAGAGGUAGGCGGAAUGUGACAAGUAGCGGUGAAAUGCAUAGAUAUGUCACAGAACACCGAUUGCGAAGGCAGCUUACUAUGGUUUUAUUGACACUGAGGCACGAAAGCGUGGGGAUCAAACAGGAUUAGAUACCCCUGU
rnacentral:rRNA from 1 species